UUAAUCAUCUAUCAUCUCAUAAACUCAAAUCCAUCAUCAAUACAUCAAUUGAUCCAUAGGAUCUCAACAUCCCAAUUUUAGGUAAACUAACCUAAUAGAAAAAUCUAUAUCUCAUGGCUAAUCAUCAAGAUAUUCAUAUAUAUUAACUCAAUAAUCAUCAAUCAUCAUAUAACUCAAGCCAAUUCAAGAAAACAAACAACAAAUUUCGUAGGGUUUCAAGCCCCUAAUUUUCGAAAAUUUCAUAGAAAUAAGUUGGGUGAUUUUCUUGCUCAAUCAUGAUCAUAUACUCACAUAUAACAUCAUACAAUCUAGAUCUAUAAAAAUAAGAAUCACUUACCCAAGAUUAAACAAAAAUCAAAGUUUUCCUUUCUCACUCUUCAAACCAAACCCCACGGUCCUCUUGAAAUCUUCAAGAAUUGAAAGGUGUUUAUGUUGAUUUGGUGGAGGAAUUGAUCUUGAUGUGAACUUGGAAGCUUUGGUGAUUCAUCUAUGGUGAUCUUUUGGAGCAAAAUCGGAAGAGAGGGAGAGAAAUUGAGAGUGGCCGAAUGGUGAAGAAAAUGAGGGAAAUGAAGUGAAUUUGUCUUGCUUAGGAAGGAUGAUUGGAGACCAAACACUAUUCACCAUUUAAUACUUGUCCCCCCCUAAACCUAUACACUAAUCCCUUCCCUUCAUCUUCAUACCACACGUCCACUUCAAGUAAGGCUAAGGAAAUUAAUCACAUGCUUAUUAGAUUAAAAUAAUCAUGUGUGUGUAAGGUUGUGUAGUCUAGAAUAAAUCAUGUGUUAAGCUACAUUAAUAAAAUCAUAAAAGACUAAUUACUAAUUAAUGCAAUGCUAUAACACAAAACUCUUGUGACCAAUAUUUAAAAUAAAUAUGGCACUAAUAUUAGUGCACUCACUCAAUUAUAAUAUUCCUCAUCAUAGGAAAAAUAAUUUGAAAAUAUUUUGUUUGGAAAAAUUUUCAUAAACCGGCAUUCUUUGAUUUCUCGGUAAAAAUAAACUGCACUUGCUUUGAAAACUUAAUUAAAAUUCCAAGUGCUAAAGUCAUCAAAUAAAAAUCAUAAUAACUUGCUCACAAUGACAUACGUAACAAAACUCACAUAAUCAAUCAGUCACGUAAUUUCACAUAAUAUCACGUCAAAGCAGUCGGCAAACACAGACAAACUAGACGUCUCUCCGACCGA
rnacentral:lncRNA from 1 species